AACGCACAUUGCGCCCGAGGCUUCGGCCAAAGGCAUGUCUGCCUCAGCGUCCUCUCCUCCUGCCCUCGCCCGGACCCCCGCGGUCUCGGACCCAGCGAGGCGCGACCUGGCCGUCCCUCCGCCUCCCCCUCUCGGGGGGGAGGCGGGUCGUCGGCUGAAAGGCAGUGCGAUCGACCCCGCGCCGGGCCUCGGCGCGGAGGGGGAGCAGCCGCUCCCUCCCCGCGCCGGGGUCUCGACGCGCCGGAGCUUGAUGAGAGAUCCCUCGGAUCCCCCCUCUCUGCUUCGGCGCGGCCGUUCACGGCGUUCGCCGGGCGUCGUCUCGCGUAACGGGGCCCCUCGCGGGGCCCCACCUCUCACGUUUAGGACCUGAGCUCAGGCAAGGCUACCCGCUGAACUUAA
rnacentral:misc_RNA from 1 species